UUUUUCCCCUCUUCAUUACACUCCACCUCAAUUUCAGAGAACUGAGACGAGUCAUGGCGGCUGCUCUCUGAGAUUUGGAGAUGCAGAGAAGGAAUUCAGGAUUCACAGAGAGAUGGAGAUUCGAGAAGAUUUCGCUGUUGUUGUUGGUCUAGUGAAGAACAGAUCCCAGUUUGGAUCGAUUCUGGGUUCUUGACUGAAGAAUCAGGUAGAAGGAGAAGAGAUCGACGUAAUUCAAGAAAUUGGGGAUGAAUUCUGUAACAAGAAGAGCAGCUAGAAGAUGGGUUUUAAGGGAUUCAAGUCUACAACAGAUGUGGAUGAUUUUCAAGGGUUUGUGAUCGAUUCAGUUAUUAGGGUUUGAGAAUAAAUUGGGGGUUUCUCUCGAUUUGAGUCUGUUGGAGCUACAGGAUGAAUUUGAUGCUGUAAUAAGGUGGAAGUUCUGAUGCUGUGUGAAAUGAUGAUUGCAGGUGUUGUAUGUAGACUAAGUGGAACUCAGUAUUGCAGGGCUUGGUGAACUUGAGUUAGCAGGGAGUUAUAGAGUUGAAAUGGGAUUGCUGGAUUGAAGUUGUAGCUGUUGCAGAUGAGCCUGAGGUUGUUUUGUGGCAGAGAUGCAGAGAAUUAGUUGGAGCUUCUAAAGCUGAGUGCAACUGCAAGAAACUGCAAGGAGGAAGUGAGCUUCAGUUGGUUUGUUGCUGCUAAUUAGAUGUAUGUUUAGGUUUGCAAAGAAGCUGUUAUGAAAUUGCAGGAGCAGUUGAUGGUGGUACUGAAGUGGUGAGCAUUUGGAAUUGAACUGGCUGGCGUGAAUGAGCUGUUGCUGUGCAGGUGGAAUGGAUGGUGAUAAUGUUGCAGUUAAGAACUGUAGAUGUAUUCUUAGGAAUGACAGCUGCGACUGAGCUGAAUUGAAUGAAACGGAUCAGGUGGGAGGCAUUGCAGUGUUGCUGGGUUCAGUUAACUGAGACAAAGAAAGGAUGAUGCUGCUGCUGAUUUGUGCUGGUUUCUGAAGCUGAAUGAGAAAAGAUGUCCGUGAUGCUGUUGCAGAAGGUGUCUCGUUGUUGACUGUCAAAGAGGAGCUGAAACUGGUGGUACAAUGGAAGCUGAUUGUCACAGAGAGUAUGAUGGUAUGCAGCUGAAAUGGUGUUGAAGGCAAGAGAUCAGAGAAAGGAGCGAGAACUGAUGAUAUUGCAGAUGAGCUGAGCUGGUGGUUAUGAGACUCGCAGCUGCUGAGAGAAUGUACGAACUGCAGGCAGUGGUCAUGUUGCAGAAUGGUUGAGAACUGGUGGCAUUUUGUUACAGUGAAGCCAAGGAAGAUUGCAAGGCCGAAAUGGAAUUGUGCAUGGCAGGAUGGGUUGGUUUUGAGAAUUACAGGAAAUGUGCAAAGUUGUGUUGAUGCUGCUGCUAUGUAUGGUGCUGAGAUAUUUGUAGCUGUGAAGAAAUGCAGUUGUGAGAAAUGAAGGUCAUUAUGGCGCAACAUUAGGCGCAGGUCAGUGCAAAUGGCUUAUGCCAUGGCAACUCAAACAAGUCAGCUCAGUUAGAUCACCUGACUAGCUGAUUCGGUUCUGACUCAACCUGACCCGGUGUUGACUCAGUUGACUUUACGAGUUGAUCCAGUUUACCUGAGUUGGUUCGUUUGACCGGUACCCGAGACACUUAUUCCGAUCACCUGAGGCGACUUCUCUGGCCAAUUUCCGGCCAACCUUUGGGACUCCAGAAACUUAUUUUUGGAUGUAUUCUCCGCAUGGGUUUAUCUUACACAUGGGCUUGGUGGACUCUUAUCUAUUAGACCUUUGAAGACUUGAUCUAAGAGAUAUAAAAGGGAGGAUUUCUACAAUUUUGGUAUCACGUAUUUUACUUGGAGCUUUUGGGAGAUAACCGCAGCUAGGGAACUUGUACAACAACAAAAGGCUCUGGCAUGAAGAGGUACCAAUGGCGCUCUGGGUAUACCGAAUUGCUAAAAGAUCAUCCACUGGCACAGCCCCCUACAACCUAGUCUAUGGUGAAGACGACAUUCUACCUACAGAAGUUAUUAUCGCCUCGGUCCGAGUUGUUGCUGCAAGCGACUUGCAAGUCAUAGAUGACAAAAGAUUCCAAGUGCUAGAUACAAUAAAAGAAAAAAGAAGCAUAGUAACUGCUCACGCCCAAAAGUAUCGUGACCGAAUGGCGAGGGCCUACAACCAAAAGGUUAAGCCGAGGAGAUUUGCAGUAGGAGACCUCGUCCUUACCAUCUCUCCACAUGUGCCCGGGAACGCUAGCACCAGAAAGUUUGCUCCGAAUUGAGAAGGACCAUUUCGAGUCAUUGAAGCCGCGAAAAGUGGUUACUACAAGAUCGAGCAUGCCGCAUCAAGGGAAAGCUUAAUGAUAAGAUGAAUGGCUUGUGGCUUAAGACCUUCUAAAUAUAAUGUACGCGUGAUAUGAAUAAAAUGACUAUUGAUUUAAAAAUA